GACGAACGCUGGCGGCGUGCUUAACACAUGCAAGUCGAACGAAGUGGCGAACGGGUGAGUAACGCGUAAUAAACCUGCACUUCAGAGGGGGACAACAGGUGGAAACGACUGCUAAUACCGCAUACUGAAGGAGGGGAUGCCGUCUGAUUAGCUAGUUGGUGGGGGAACGGCCCACCAAGGCGAGGAUCAAGAGCCGGUCUGAGAGGAUGAACGGCCACAUUGGGACUGAGACACGGCCCAGACUCCUACGGGAGGCAGCAGUGGGGAAUCUUCCGCAAUGGACGAAAGUCGGACGGAGCAACGCCGCGUGGGUGAUGACGGCCUUCGGGUUGUAAAGCUCUGUUAAUCGGGACGCGUUACCGGAAUAGAAAGCCACGGCUAACUACGUGCCAGCAGCCGCGGUAAUU
rnacentral:rRNA from 1 species